UUUUAUGGAGAGUUUGAUCCUGGCUCAGAGUGAACGCUGGCGGCGUGCCUAAUACAUGCAAGUCGAACGGAGUAUUAAGAGAGCUUGCUCUUUUAAUACUUAGUGGCGCACGGGUGAGUAAUGUAUAGUUAAUCUGCCCUACACUGGAGGACAACAGUUAGAAAUGACUGCUAAUACUCCAUACUCCUUCUUAACAUAAGUUAAGUCGGGAAAGUUUUUCGGUGUAGGAUGAGACUAUAUUGUAUCAGCUAGUUGGUAAGGUAAUGGCUUACCAAGGCUUUGACGCAUAACUGGUCUGAGAGGAUGAUCAGUCACACUGGAAC
rnacentral:rRNA from 1 species